GAAGCUCCAUCCACAUCUCGCGAGAGCGCGCCGUUAGGGUCUCGCGAGUACUGCUCCUGGAGUCCUGGCUAAAGCUGGGGAGCGCGGGUCUCCGCGGCGCGAACUGACUGGGCGUUUCCAUUGUGGCAUUUCACUACAGGAGCCAUAUAUUGAAGACAAUGUCUGGAAGCUUCUACUUUGUAAUUGUUGGCCACCAUGAUAAUCCAGUUUUUGAAAUGGAAUUUUUGCCAGCUGGGAAAGCAGAAUCCAAAGAUGAUCAUCGUCAUCUGAACCAAUUCAUAGCUCAUGCUGCUCUUGACCUUGUGGAUGAAAACAUGUGGCUUUCAAACAACAUGUAUUUGAAAACUGUGGACAAAUUCAAUGAGUGGUUUGUGUCAGCAUUUGUCACUGCAGGGCAUAUGAGAUUUAUUAUGCUUCAUGAUGUAAGGCAAGAAGAUGGAAUCAAGAACUUCUUUACCGAUGUCUAUGAUUUAUAUAUAAAGUUUGCAAUGAAUCCAUUUUAUGAACCCAAUUCUCCUAUACGAUCAAGCGCAUUUGACAGAAAAGUUCAGUUUCUUGGGAAGAAACACCUUUUAAGCUGAAUGCAGAAAAAUUCUGAAGUAAACAAUGUCACCACAAUGGGGUAUACUCAGGAAAUGUGUACAUUCUGAAAAUUUCCUAGGAUGCUUCAUUCAACAUCCAUGUUUCCUAUGUGUGGAUAUGCUAUGAAUCUCUGCUCUGCUCAUGCUACUACCCUAAUGUUCUCUAAUUACUCUGUUACUUCAAUACUUCUGGUUGACAGUCUAUGGCAUCCCGGAAACUAACUAGGUAUGUAUGGUGGUCUUUUUUUCUCUUCAGCACUUUGCUGCUUUAUAAUACAUACUGUGAAAGAACUUACAUCAUGGUGACAUGAUAAUGAAAGUGAGAAGUUAGCGUAGAAAUGCAAAAAGCAAGGUUUUCUUUUAAGACAAGGAACAUGUGCAAUAUUUUAACUUCAACUAGGGAAUUUUUCACAAGGGUGAAGAAAAGUGGCAAAAGCUUUUUAGUCCACUGAUGGAAUUGUAAUUUUCCAUCUUCCAUCCUCACAUUGUAAUUGCUGUAUCAGUUGUCAAAUGCACAUUUAUCUGUGCUCCAAAUUCAGCAGGUUGCGUUUUUCUUAAAAUGCUGCUCCUGCCUUAGCCUCUGAAGUAUAGGUGUGUGCCACUGUGCUGGCAAUUGUGGUAGUUUGAUAAUCCAUUUUGAAGGGCUGCCCAAUACCACCACUGUUUCAGUCCUUUUUCCCCUAUUGAAAGUCUGCGUUCGUACACAGCUUGAACUUAGCUGGAUGUAUGACUAUUGUAAUGAUGGGCACCAUAUGAUGAAUGACUCCUUUACCAUGGGGCUGUGAAGCAUGACCUACAGUUCUUCCCAUCUAUCCACUUUUUUCCUGGGAGGCUGGGCAGCUGCUUCUCACCAUUCCUGCUAACACAGUCCACUUGUUUUGUUCACCACUUAUUUUUUCCAUAUUGUUGUCCUUUGUAUAGAUAAUACCAGCCACUAGAGUAUCUUUCUUUAAACAAAAUCAUCAAAUUUCUCAGUUAACUUUUGCUACUGGUUGAAGUGCUUUUCACAUCAGCUGCAGUUUGAAGAUCAAAGCUAUUCUGUAAAGUUCAUCCUCCUCCUCUUGGUUUUUACAUUUCAGAAUCAUGUUUGGUAAAUUAGUCAGUGUUCACCAAAAUUCUGUAAGACAACAUGAAGCUAUAUUAUUCUCCCUUCAGCCUUUCUCUAUGGUCAUAAAGAUCUGUUCCUUUGAUCAUUUUUUGCUGCUCAGGUCUAAAAUUUGGGGAAGCCAACUAAUCUAAUCCCUGUGUUAAAAAACAGAACUGGGGCUAUAGCUCAGUUGGCAGAGUGCUUGCCUGGCAUGCACAAGGCCCUGGGUUCAAUCCCCAGCACCACCAAAAAAAAAAAAAAAACCACUCAGA